rnacentral:rRNA from 1 species
GAUGAACGCUGGCGGUGUGCCUAAUACAUGCAAGUCGAACGAGAUCUUCGGAUCUAGUGGCGAACGGGUGAGUAACACGUUGGUACCUACCCUCGAGUGGGGAAUAACUGGCCGAAAGGUCGGCUAAUACCGCAUAAUACCGCAAGGUUAAAGUAGUAAUACGCUCGGGGAGGGGCCUGCGUCCCAUUAGCUAGUUGGUAGGGUAACUGCCUACCAAGGCAACGAUGGGUAGCUGGAUCGAGAGGUUGACCAGCCACACUGGGACUGAGAUACGGCCCAGACUCCUACGGGAGGCAGCAGUAAGGAAUCUUCCACAAUGGACGAAAGUCUGAUGGAGCAACACCGCGUGCAGGAUGACGGCCUUCGGGUUGUAAACUGCUUUUAUAUGGGAAGAUUAUGACGGUACCAUAUGAAUAAGGACCGGCUAACUACGUGCCAGCCGCCGCCGUAA